CUCAAGGGACUCAGGCAGUUGGCUUUUCUCCUCUCCAGAGCACCAACUGAAACAAACCACUCAGCCAGAAUGAACAGAGCAGGACUAUGUUUCACUUUACUACUACUGGGUUAUGGUUUUCCUCAGGUGUGUACAUGGGGGGAAGCCCUCUCAAAAGGAUAUGGUGUUUAGUAGGGGCAUCCAGCUCUUUGUAGAAGGUUUGAACCCUUCUGAUCCAUCUGUACUCAUCCUCUCCUCAUUCGGGAGCGACCCUGGUGCUUCACACACACCUGUGCUGGUGUGUGUCCUCAGUGGUUUA